rnacentral:rRNA from 1 species
UACGUAGGGUGCAAGCGUUGUCCGGAAUUAUUGGGCGUAAAGAGCUCGUAGGCGGUUCGUACGUCGGCUGUGAAAUCCCGAGGCUCAACCUCGGGUCUGCAGUCGAUACGGGCGGACUGGAGUACUGCAGGGGAGACUGGAAUUCCUGGUGUAGCGGUGAAAUGCGCAGAUAUCAGGAGGAACACCGGUGGCGAAGGCGGUUCUCUGGGCAUUACCUGACGCUGAGUGCGCGAAAGCCAGGGGAGCAAACGGG